rnacentral:rRNA from 1 species
ACGGCGCCAUCUGAGUGUGAGUCUGGAGGUAGAGGUGAAGCAUAUGGGUGUGGCUCUGGAGAGAGGGGUGGAGCUUCUUGGUGUAGGUAUGGAGGGACGAAUGUUGCUUUCCUUGUGUGGGUUCGGAGGGAGGGAUGGUGGCAUGUCGGUACGGAGGGAGGUGACAUUUGAAUAUGGAACGUUUGUUUGGAAGGAGAAAUGGGGCAUUUGAGCUUGAAUUGGAAAUGUAGGGCUGGGUGGAUGCCUCGCGGGACUGCGGCCCAGGCACACCCGGCCUCCGCAGGGCGCAGUUCCUCUGUGGCCGUGCACCGUGACUGGCUGGGAAUGCCCCAGGAGGCAGGUGGCUCUCCACUCCGGCAGAGUGUGUUACAGCCCCCUGACAACAGUUUUGCUGUGUCUGCGAGGCCGAAGGAGAUUGACGGCCACUGUCUGAAAGACAGGGCUCCUGAUGCGACUGUGGUGGACUGCCCUCAGUGCGCCCCGACCAUGUUGCACCGCUGGGUGGGGCGUCUCCCAAAGGGCGCCAGGGGUCUGAGGUGAAACACUGGCCAAGGAGUCUUUACACAUGCGCGAGUCGAGGGCCGAACGAAACCGUGUGGUGCAAUGAAGGCGAGGGCCAUUGGGGUGGGAUCCCGCUGCGGUGGACGCACCACUAACCCGUCUCGCCCGGUCUGUCAGGGAGGUGGAGCAUGAGCGUGUGUGAUAGGACCCGAAAGAUGGUGAACUAGGCCUGGGCAGGGAGAAGCCAGAGGAAACUGCUGAAGGUCCGUAGCGGUCCUAAGGUGCAAAUCGGUCGUCCGACCUGGGUAUAGGGACGAAAGAGUUAACCAACUGUCUAGCAGCUGGUUCCCUCCGAAGUUUCCCUCCGGAUAGCUGGCGCACAGAAACCCUAGUUUUAUCUGGUAAAGCGAAUGAUUAGAGGUCUUGGGGCCAAAAUGAUCUUAACCUUUUCUCAAACUUUAAAUGGGUAAGAAGCCCAGCUCGCUUGCGUGGAGCCGGGCAUCAAAUGCAAGUGUACCGUGGGCCAAUGUAAGUGCGCAGAACUGAUGCUUUGGUAUGAACCGAACCCUGGGUAAAGGUGCCUGAUGCCGACACUCAUCAGACCCCAGAAAAGGUGUUGGUGGAUAUAGACAGCAGGACGGUGGGCAUGGAAGUCAGAAUCUGCUAAGGAGUGUGUAACAACUAACCUGCUGACCUUGAAAAUGGAUGGCGCUGGAGCAUCGGGCCCAUACCCGGCCGGCGCUGAGAGUCGUGGGGUCUACGCUGCAAGGAGUAGGAGGGCUGCGGCUGCUGCGGUGUGCACAGAAGCCCGGGAUGAUUGCCCGGGUGGAGCCGCUGCAGGUACAGAUCUUGGUGGUAGUAGCAAAUAUUCAAAUGAGAACUUUGAAGGCCGAAGUGGAGAAGCGUUCCACGUGAACAACAGUUGAACAUGGGUCAGUUGGUCCUAAGAAAUGGUUGAGUGCCGUUCGGAAGGGACGGGUGAUGCCUCCAUUGCCCUCAGCCGAUCGAAAGGGAGUCUGGUUCAGAUCUCUGAACCCGUAGUGGCGGAGACCGGCGCCCUCGCGGCAUCCAGUGCUAUAACGAAAACAAUCCCAGAGAAGCUUGCAGGAUCCCCAGGGAGAGUUCUGUUUUCUUUGUGAAGGGCUGGGCACCUUGAAAUGGGUUCACCCCGAGAGAGGGGCCCAAAAAGCGUUGCAGUUCGGCGGUGUCUGGUGAGUUCUCGUUGGUCCUUGAAAAUCUGGGGGAGAUGGUGUAAAUCUUGCGCCAGGCUGUACCCAUAUCUGCAGCAGUUCUCCAAGGUGAACAGCCUCUGGCAUGUUGGAACAAUGUAGGUAAGGGAAGUUGGCAAGUGGGAUCCGUAACGUCGGGAUGGGCUGGGGUGCAAAGCGGGGCUGGCUGCACACUGCGGCUGGACGAGGCGUCUCCUCCCCGGCGGAUGCACCAACUCUGAAUGUGAGCCAGGCCCUUCCUGUGGAUCACCCCAGCUGCAAUGGUCACCUCUCUCCGUUACCCUACUGGGGUUCAGGACCGGCGUUCUGCCCGGCCGAUGCAUAGCGGCUGACUUAGUACUGGUGCGGACCAGGGGAAUCCGACUGUUGAAUUAAAACAAAGCAUCGCGUAAGGCCCACAGUGGGUGUUGACACGAUUUAUGCCCAGUGCUCUGAAUGUCAAAGUGAAGAAAUUCAAUGAAGUGCGGGUAAACGGCAAGAGUAACUAGCUAUGCCUCGUCAUUUAAUUAGUGACACGCAUGAAUGGAUGAACGAGAUUCCCACUGUCCCUACCUACUAUCUAGCGAAACCACAAACAAGUAGACAUGCUUGGCGGAAUCAGCAGGGACAGAUUCACUCUUGUCUGACACUGUGAAGAGACUUGAGGUGUAGGAUUAGUGGGAGGCCCUCGGGCCGCCGGUGAAAUACCACAACUCUUAUUGUUUUUUCACUUGCCUGCUGGGGGGUGGAGGGGGCCCUGGGACUCUCGCUUCUGGCUCCAAGAGUGCCCGCCGGGUAUGACCUGCUCAGGGGACAGUGGCAGGUAGGGAGUUUGACUGGGGCGGUAUACUUGGCAAACCAUAACGCAAGUGUCCUAAGGUGAGCUCAGGGAGGACAGAAAUCUCCCCCGGAGCAGAUGGGCAAACGCUGGCUUGAUCUCGAUUUUCAGUAUGAAUACAGACCGUUAAAGCAGGGCCUCAGGAUCCUUCUGACUUUUUUGGUUUCAAGCAGGCGGUGUCAGAAAAGUUACCAUAUGGAUAACUGACUUGUAGCGGCCAAGCGUUCAUAUCGACGUCACUUUUUGAUCCUUCGAUGUCAGCUAUUCCUAUCAUUGUGAAGCAGAAUUCACCAAGCGUUGGAUUGUUCACCCACUAAUAGGGAGCAUGAGCUGAGUUUAGACAGUCGUGCGACAGGUUUUACCCUACUGAUGAUGUGUUGUUGCAAUAGUAAUCCUGCUCAGUACGACAGGAACCGCAGGUUCAGACAGUUGGUGUAUAUGCUUGGCUGAGGAGCCAAUGGGGCGAAGCUACCUUCUGUGGUAUUAUGACUGAACGCCUCGAAGUCAGAAUCCCUCCUAACCGCAACGGUACUGCAGCGCUGUGGAGCCUCAGUUGGCCUAGGAUACCUGGCCUCUGGGCCGGUGCGUAGAGCCACUCGCCUCGGGACUUGCGUGUGAACAGAAGGGGGCCACCUCUUUCGCCUGUAGUGCACCAAAU